rnacentral:rRNA from 1 species
AUGGAGAACGAGUUCCAGGAUGGCAAGGAGGAGGUCAUCCAAGCAUGGUACAUGGAUGACAGUGAAGAGGACCAGAGGCUCCCUCACCACCGUGAGCCCAAAGAGUUCAUUCCUCUUGCCAAACUUUCAGAAUUAGGUGUUGUAAGCUGGAACCUGAAUGCUGAUAACUGGGAGAAAGACGAGAAUCUCAAGAAAAUCCGUGAGGCCAGGGGAUACUCCUAUGUGGACAUCUGCGACGUAUGUCCUGAGAAGUUGCCAAACUAUGAGGCCAAGCUGAAGAAUUUCUUUGAAGAGCACUUGCAUACUGAUGAAGAGAUACGCUAUUGUCUUGAGGGCAGUGGAUACUUUGAUGUGAGGGACCAAAACGAACAGUGGAUCCGUAUAGCAGUUAAGAAAGGUGGCAUGAUUGUUUUGCCUGCAGGAAUGUAUCACCGCUUUACAUUGGAUAGUGACAACUACAUCAAGGCAAUGCGGCUCUUUGUGGGAGAGCCUAUCUGGACGCCAUACAACCGUCCCCAUGACCAUCUCCCAGCUAGAAAGGAGUAUGUCGACAAGAUUAUCAACAGAGGUGGGAACCAAACUGUUGAAGCUCGUUGA